UAAAGCGUGCGCAGGCGGUUUUGUAAGACUGUCGUGAAAUCCCCGGGCUCAACCUGGGAAUGGCGAUGGUGACUGCAAGGCUAGAGUUUGGCAGAGGGGGGUAGAAUUCCACGUGUAGCAGUGAAAUGCGUAGAUAUGUGGAGGAACACCGAUGGCGAAGGCAGCCCCCUGGGUCAAAACUGACGCUCAUGCACGAAAGCGUGGGGAGCAAACAGGAUUAGAUCCCGUGU
rnacentral:rRNA from 1 species